AGUGAACGCUGGCGGUAGGCCUAACACAUGCAAGUCGAACGGCAGCACAGGAGAGCUUGCUCUCUGGGUGGCGAGUGGCGGACGGGUGAGGAAUACAUCGGAAUCUACUCUGUCGUGGGGGAUAACGUAGGGAAACUUACGCUAAUACCGCAUACGACCUACGGGUGAAAGCAGGGGACCUUCGGGCCUUGCGCGAUUGAAUGAGCCGAUGUCGGAUUAGCUAGUUGGCGGGGUAAAGGCCCACCAAGGCGACGAUCCGUAGCUGGUCUGAGGGGAGGAUCAGCCACACUGGAACUGGGACACGGUCCAGACUCCUACGGGAGGCAGCAGUGGGGAAUAUUGGACAAUGGGCGCAAGCCUGAUCCAGCCAUACCGCGUGGGUGAAGAAGGCCUUCGGGUUGUAAAGCCCUUUUGUUGGGAAAGAAAUCCAGCUGGCUAAUACCCGGUUGGGAUGACGGUACCCAAAGAAUAAGCACCGGCUAACUUCGUGCCAGCAGCCGCCGUAA
rnacentral:rRNA from 1 species